UACGGAGGGGGCUAGCGUUGUUCGGAAUUACUGGGCGUAAAGCGCUCGUAGGCGGCUUGUUAAGUCGGGGGUGAAAUCCUGAGGCUCAACCUCAGAACUGCCUUCGAUACUGGCGAUCUUGAGUUCGGAAGAGGUUGGUGGAACAGCUAGUGUAGAGGUGAAAUUCGUAGAUAUUAGCUAGAACACCAGUGGCGAAGGCGGCCAACUGGUCCGAUACUGACGCUGAGGUGCGAAAGCGUGGGGAGCAAACAGG
rnacentral:rRNA from 1 species